CCUACGGGUGGCAGCAGUGAGGAAUAUUGGUCAAUGGCCGUAAGGCUGAACCAGCCAAGUAGCGUGAGGGAAGACUGCCCUAUGGGUUGUAAACCUCUUUUAUGCGGGGAUAAAGGUGUCCACGUGUGGAUGUUUGCAGGUACCCCUUGAAUAAGCCACGGCUAACUACGUGCCAGCAGCCGCGGUAAUACGUAGGUGGCAAGCGUUGUCCGGAUUUACUGGGUGUAAAGGGCGUGCAGCCGGAGAGACAAGUCAGAUGUGAAAUCCACGGGCUCAACCCGUGAACUGCAUUUGAAACUGUUUCCCUUGAGUGUCGGAGAGGUAAUCGGAAUUCCUUGUGUAGCGGUGAAAUGCGUAGAUAUAAGGAAGAACACCAGUGGCGAAGGCGGAUUACUGGACGAUAACUGACGGUGAGGCGCGAAAGCGUGGGGAGCAAACAGGAUUAGAUACCCUUGUAGUC
rnacentral:rRNA from 1 species